GCCGCGAUUUAGCUCAGUGGGUAAAGCGCUAGGUGAGAAGCUGGCGAUUUACUCCGAGAGGUAUUAUCUGCGCGGGUUCGAAUACCGCCUGUGGCA
rnacentral:tRNA from 1 species